UACGGGGGGAGCAAGCGUUGUUCGGAUUUACUGGGCUUAAAGAGUUCGUAGGCGGCGCGGAAAGUAGGGUGUGAAAGCCCUCGGCUCAACCGAGGAAUUGCGCUCUAAACUGCCGCGCUCGAGGAACCUAGAGGUGAGCAGAACUGAUGGUGGAGCGGUGAAAUGCGUUGAUAUCAUCAGGAAUACCGGAGGCGAAGGCGGCUCACUGGGGGUUAUCUGACGCUGAGGAACGAAAGCCAGGGGAGCAAACGGG
rnacentral:rRNA from 1 species